GGCUCAGAUUGAACGCUGGCGGCAUGCUUUACACAUGCAAGUCGAACGGCAGCACGGGGGCAACCCUGGUGGCGAGUGGCGAACGGGUGAGGAAUACAUCGGAACGUGUCUUCAAGUGGGGGAUAACGCAUCGAAAGGUGUGCUAAUACCGCAUAAUCUCUGAGGAGAAAAGCAGGGGAUCGCAAGACCUUGCGCUUUUGGAGCGGCCGAUGCCUGAUUAGCUUGUUGGUGAGGUAAAAGCUUACCAAGGCUUCGAUCAGUAGCUGGUCUGAGAGGACGACCAGCCACACUGGGACUGAGACACGGCCCAGACUCCUACGGGAGGCAGCAGUGGGGAAUUUUGGACAAUGGGGGCAACCCUGAUCCAGCCAUGCCGCGUGAGUGAAGAAGGCCUUCGGGUUGUAAAGCUCUUUCAGCCGGAACGAAACGGUUACGGUUAAUACCCGUGACUACUGACGGUACCGGAAGAAGAAGCACCGGCUAACUACGUGCCAGCAGCCGCGGUAAUACGUAGGGUGCGAGCGUUAAUCGGAAUUACUGGGCGUAAAGCGUGCGCAGGUGGUUUUGUAAGUCAGAUGUGAAAUCCCCGGGCUUAACCUGGGAACUGCGUUUGAAACUACAAGGCUAGAGUGUGGCAGAGGGGGGUGGAAUUCCGCGUGUAGCAGUGAAAUGCGUAGAGAUGUGGAGGAACACCGAUGGCGAAGGCAGCCCCCUGGGUCAACACUGACGCUCAGGCACGAAAGCAUGNGGAGCAAACAGGAUUAGAUACCCUGGUAGUCCAUGCCCUAAACGAUGUCAACUAGUUGUCGGGCCUUUACGGGCUUGGU
rnacentral:rRNA from 1 species